GAUGAACGCUGGCGGCGUGCUUAACACAUGCAAGUCGAACGAAGCAUUUGCGACAGAUUUCUUCGGAAUGAAGUUGCUUAUGACUGAGUGGCGGACGGGUGAGUAACGCGUGGGUAACCUGCCUUGUACUGGGGGAUAGCAGCUGGAAACGGCUGGUAAUACCGCAUAAGCUCACAAUGUUGCAUGACAUUGUGUGAAAAACUCCGGUGGUAUAAGAUGGACCCGCGUUUGAUUAGCUAGUUGGUGAUAUAACAGCCCACCAAGGCGACGAUCAGUAGCCGAGCUGAGAGGGUGACCGGCCACAUUGGGACUGGGACACAGCGCAGACUCCUACGGGAGGCAGGAGUGGGGAAUAUUGCACAAUGGAGGAAGCUCUGAUGGAGCGACGCCGGGAAAGUGAAGAUGUAAUUCGUGAUGUAAAGCUCUAUCAGCAGGGAAGAUAGUGACGGUACCUGACUAAGAAGCUCCGGCUAAAUACGUG
rnacentral:rRNA from 1 species